rnacentral:rRNA from 1 species
UACGGAGGGUGCGAGCGUUAAUCGGAAUAACUGGGCGUAAAGGGCCCGCAGGCGGGCUUUUAAGUGAGAUGUGAAAUCCCCGGGCUUAACCUGGGAAUGGCAUUUCAGACUGGGAGUCUAGAGUACGGUAGGGAGAGGUAGAAUUCCAGGUGUAGCGGUGAAAUGCGUAGAGAUGUGGAGGAAUACCGAAGGCGAAGGCAGCCCCUUGGGAAUGUACUGACGCUGAUGUGCGAAAGCGUGGGGAGCAAACAGG